AGAACGGAGAAAAGCGGCAGGCCUAACACAUGCAAGUCGAACGGUAACAGGAUAUAACCUUGCUUCUUUGCUAACGAGUGGCGGACGGGUGAGUAAUGUCUGGGAAACUGCCUGAUGGAGGGGGAUAACUACUGGAAACGGUAGCUAAUACCGCAUAACGUCGCAAGACCAAAAAGGGGGACCUUCGGGCCUCUUGCCAUCGGAUGUGCCCAGAUGGGAUUAGCUAGUAGGUGGGGUAACGGCUCACCUAGGCGACGACCCCUAGCUGGUCUGAGAGGAUGACCAGCCACACUGGAAC
rnacentral:misc_RNA from 1 species